GGGCCUGCUGUGUUCCCUGUGGCUCCUACCUCUUCCAAGCAGCAUGGUGUGAAUGUCAGCGUGAAUGCAUCGGCCACCCCUUUCCAACAGCCAAGUGGAUAUGGGUCUCACGGAUACAACACUGGAAGAAAAUAUCCACCCCCUUACAAGCAUUUCUGGACGGCAGAGAGCUAAUUUGGCCCAAGGCUGGGGGCUGUGUUUUGUGUGUGUGU